rnacentral:tRNA from 1 species
AUAAAUGUAAUAUUAGUUUUACAAAUAGUACUAUGCAAAUUAAUGAUUUCAUUUUUAUUUUAUUAGAGGGU